rnacentral:antisense_RNA from 1 species
GGCGGGCGGCGGCGGCGUCGUCGAGCGACAAUACAAGCGCCUCGGACCGAGUCCCCGAACCUGCCCUAGCCAAAAUGGCGGCCGAGAAAGAGCGGAAGUGACGUUAAAGAGGCUUUUGUAUACUGGAGAUAUAAGCAAAAAAGGUCUAAGGUGACUUUACGCAGAGAUUGAAGGAUGAGCAGCAGAUGGUCAUCAAGGAGCAUGGAAACAGCAUUUCAGGCAAAGGAAAAUAGAACUCUGUGAACUCAGAAGCAUGCUUAUGGCAUGGAAAGCAAAAAGGAAAGAGCACAAGGCAGAGGUCAGAAAGGGAGGCAGGGGCCAACAAACACAUAGGGGCUUGAGGGACAAGGGAAGGAACUUCGAUUUUUCCCUAGAUGUUAGUGGGAACUCCCUGAACUCCCUGAACUGGAGGGACAAUAAUCUGAUUCUGGUUUUGUGUAUCUAGCUUAAACUCAGGACAGCUU